CGCCUUGCAGUCUAGGAGAGCCCCAUGCCUUUGGACAUGCUGUUCCUUCUGCCUGGGAUUUCCUUGUCCGCCUGGCGA
rnacentral:miRNA from 1 species